rnacentral:rRNA from 1 species
AGAACGAACGCUGGCGGCAUGCCUAACACAUGCAAGUCGAACGAGACCUUCGGGCCUAGUGGCGCACGGGUGCGUAACGCGUGGGAAUCUGCCCUUGGGUUCGGGAUAACAGUUGGAAACGACUGCUAAUACCGGAUGAUGACUUCGGUCCAAAGAUUUAUCGCCCAGGGAUGAGCCCGCGUAGGAUUAGCUAGUUGGUGAGGUAAAGGCUCACCAAGGCGACGAUCCUUAGCUGGUCUGAGAGGAUGAUCAGCCACACUGGGACUGAGACACGGCCCAGACUCCUACGGGAGGCAGCAGUGGGAAUAUUGGACAAUGGGCGAAAGCCUGAUCCAGCAAUGCCGCGUGAGUGAUGAAGGCCUUAGGGUUGUAAAGCUCUUUUACCCGGGAUGAUAAUGACAGUACCGGAGAAUAAGCCCCGGAUAACUCCGUGCCAGCAGCGC